UGCAUGGAUGUCUUGGUCCAAACGAAAAAAUUAAAAGCUAAUAAUGACUGAUGAUACGCAAAACGAAAAGGCAGUGCAUUGGGUUUUGUAGAUCUCACGUUUAUAAAUCCAAAAAUCUCAUGUCAUUUAAAACAAAAGCAAGGUAUCAGUUUGGAAAAAACAUAAACAAAAGAGGAACUUCAAAAGUCACAGAUGACAUCCAUAUUUUCCGUUUCUGAAAAAUCCACCUUCUUGCUCAAAGAUCAAACUUCAUCUUCGAACAACAACGAAAACUCAACAGCAUGACAACAAUACGAACACUCAAGGAAAACAAUCAUGGAGCUAUAUCAAAGGUGAAAUAGAUCAAAGAUGGAACUAACUGGGUGCAGCUUGGAUUGAUCGACGAGAAUGUAGUGGAGGUCUGUUCGUACGGAGGAUGUCUGGAGAUUUUUGUCCUUAUCCCAGCUUGGUGGUCCCUCCCUCAAUUCCUCGUUUUACCCUUUUACUGCUUGAUUUUCACUGCUUUGUUACGUGAACCUGUUGUAAAUUCGUGUCUUUGAAAGAUGAGGGCGAAAGACUUCUCUCAAUGUCUCCUUCAAACACUGUAACCAAUGUCGCUGGACUGACCAGCUGGGAACACCAAUAUCAUGCCAGACUGCAAUUUAUCCAACUCACAACUUAUUAAAUACUAUUAUUUUUUGUAUACACUCAUUUGUGUCUCCAUCAUGUACUGCUGUCGUACAUUGAAUUCUCUGUUGAGUGUGAAAUGUUAAGAUUAAAUGCAGACCGCAACUACAGAAAAAUACAAGAUCCACUACUCCACUUGUCCACUUAAUUCUGCUUCCUCAUCCUCGACAUCCAUCUCUUGUUCCACGCCUUUGACCUCAGGUACAUAAUGCAUCAGCAUAUUCUCAAUGUCUGAUUUCAGAGUCACCGAAGAACUUGGGGAGACACUACACGCUCCUUGCAUUUUACUGGAUUUUAACUCUUCCAACCUAGAUACUUCCACCUCCCACCGCGGAUAAGGUGUAUCCAUCAGGUUCGAGAGCUCCAACAUUGUUGUUGGACUAAUGACGAAUGUGCGCCGAUGUUACUCUCACUGGUCUUUGGUGGUAGGACCAUCCUUGACUGCAUCAGCAGAAUGAUCUUUGCCAUUAAAUAUGCAUUUGUAGGAUGUGAUAAAUCAAUAUUAUUCUCACGUACCAAUGCCUGCAUGGCUUGCAAUUGAGCAGCUACUGCAAUCUGGCUGUUCAUAACAUUUUGGAUGCCAUGUUGUGCUUCUGGUGUUUGAAUGCCAUGUUGUGCUUCUGGUGUUUGAAUGGGUCUUAUCUGUUGUCCUUGCUCCAUCUUCUUUUCUCCACGGACAUUGUGUUCAGAUGCAGGUUUAACAUUCCCAUCUUAGCAUGCUGUUGCGGAUGAAUUCCCAAAGUAGGCUUUUGUUACGCAUCCUGGAAAGCAUAUUGAAGGUAUGCUUAGUGGACAAGGUUUAGCAUUUGCUGCUGCUUGCUAUUUUGACCUCUGAGCUGAGCAUCUUGAUUGGAACCAUGUAGCUGAGCUAAAUCGGCGAAUUUUUGAGACUGGUGGGGCAGUUGCAUAGCAUUGGGUUGUUGGAAAUUGUUACUCCCAAAUACACCUUGACGCCCUGCCUGAUAAUCUAAAAAUGCUUCAUUUCCUUCAGGCUUUCUUAGCAGCUUUAACCUCUUUGUCAAUUUCAGCAGAAACACAUUUUAUUCCAUCAUUACAACCGGGAUGAUAAAUACUGUUCUUGGCAUAACUCUCAAAGCCUUGUAAUAUUGUUACCAAAUUACAAGGAACACCAAAAUAGUUUCCUAGAACAACUUUUGAUGUAGAAUUUGCAUUCGGGCCUAUAACUGCAAUCGAAUUUGUUGAUUUUGGAAGUGGGAGAAUUGAGGCAGUGUUUUUUUAAAAGUACAAUGCCACUUCUAGCAGCUUCUAGAGCUAUGUUGAGAUUUUGUUUAGAGCAUACUUGAUUUGGACCAAUUGUCCCAUACUUGAGUUUGGUUGGAUUUCCAUCGAAUAAUCCUAGUCUAAUUUGAAUGGAGAAUAGAUUGUGAAGGGCGCAGUCGAUUUGAGAUAUUGGUACUUUAUUUUGUAACACUGCUGAUUUAGCAAGCUUUGUUAAGUUAUCACCACAUUCUACACCCAUUCCAGCUUUAAGUGUAUCGGCGACAACAUCCUCUGGUGUUUUUGCAUAACCUUGCAUAUCAUGUAGGAUAGCUACCGGUGCACAAUCAGAUGUAAUAUACCCAUUGAAAUUCCACUUUUGUCUUGCGGUAUUUUCAACAUGCACCAGUAAAGAAUGCAGGGGUUCUAGUUUAUGUGUUUCAGCAAACCCUGAAUAUAUAUCAUUGGAUUUAUGAUGAAGCUUCCCAUUGAUUA